UUGAGUUCUUGCCCGCACAGACUGUUUGAUCUGUUCGUAGAAGAGUGGCUGAACAUGGAUACGGAUCGGCCCACGGUGUCAAGACAUGCAGAGGUAGACACCGAAAUAUUAGAUCAACUAGAAAAACACAAAGGUAAUUGAUUUAAUAUGGAAUAGCCUCAUGGCUACCUCAUCAGUUUCACUAUAAAAAAGGUAUCAUUGUGAAUUAUUUACGUUCUGCAACUUUGUAAAGGCGUCCGCAUGCUUCCCAGCCAACACAGUUCGGAAGAGUUCGUGCAUGGUGACAUUUAGUGACGUUUUUGUUCGUUUUGGACUUCGGUGAGGGUUUUUUCAGCUGUUCAGGUACACCAUUUAUUUUAUUUUUUUCCUUAUCAAGGCAAGCUGAAGUUCAGAACUGAAGUCUACGCCCCUUCGGUGAUUGGUCAACAAUAGGGAUUCUUCAAUAAAGUAUUUUUUUGUCAUUCAACGAGAGAUGACUCAUUUUGAUGCAAAUCUUUUCAUUAAGAAAUACUGCACCAAACAUCUUAGUCUCACAAUUUUACAUCUAACUAAGAUCUCCUCUACAAAAACGUCGAAAUUAAUAACAGAUUUCUUGAGUUAUUUUAGAUCCAUUCUGACUGUUUUGAGGAAGCGUAUACUGGCUACAGCGUAUCAAAAUGGACCAACAGUACUAUUGCCGUGUUCUCAUUUUUCAAGCAAAGGUCUUUUGAAGGGAGUAGGCGAGCACACUCGCUCGGGUUCGCCUAGCCGCCAGCCGAACUGAAGCAUGCUGACGCCUUAACAAAACAUUGUCACAGUUAUCCCAAGGAUGAAUUUGCAAACAUAACAUUUGAUUAAUUUGAUCUGUUCAUAGAAGAGUGUCUGAACAUGGAUACGGAUAGGCCCAUGGAAUCAAGACAUGCAGAGGUAGACACUGAAGUAUUAGAUCAAUUAGAAAACAGCAGCAUUGUACAAGCAACCAACAAGCAAACUUUGUGGGCUCUAAACUGCUUGAAGGACUGGCUGGCAGAGAAACAGAUGAUAGUGGAUUUUUCAACCAUUGAGAAAUCUGAAAUGAAUGUCCUCUUGCGAGAUUUUUACUGUUCUGUUCGAAGGGGUAAAGGUGGGGAGUAUUGCAUCCCAAGCUAUAUUGGAAUCCGGGCUGGCGUGAACAGAUUCAUUAACCUCCCUCCCCUUAGCAGAACCUGGUGCUUGAUGAAGGACAGUUUACCUCCUCUAAUAAUGUAUUUAUUGGGGUACUAAAGAAACUCAGACGAGAGGGCAGGGACAAAACUACCCAUCCUAAGGUGAUUAAAGCACAAGACCUUGAGAUUCUUCAAAACUCUACUGUGCUAAGCCCCUACACACCCAGAGGACUAGUGAACAAAGUGUGGUUUGAUAUCCAGUUACACUUUGGCCCCAGAGGAAAAGAGGGCAAUAGACAGCUAACGCCACAGUCGUUUGUAAUAAGGUACGAUGAAAACGGAGCAAAAUAUGCAACGCUGACUUCCAAAGAAGAAAGACUGAACCACAAAGAUGCAGAAGAGCAGAACUGGCAGAAUCGCUGUGGGAAUCAUGUUCCAGAACCCUGGUAGUCACCUCUGUCCAGUCGCCUCCUUGGAGAAGUAUCUGAGCAAGAUCCCUUCAGAUGCCACUGCCUUCUACCUCCAUCCUAAGAAGAUGGUCAUCACCAGUGACAGCAUAUGGUAUAGCCAGGAGCCAAUGGGGUUCAACUACCUUUCAUCAAUGCUGCCCCGACUGUGCCAGGAGGCUGGUACAUUGGAAAAGUACACAAACAACUGCUUCCGAUCUUUGCGCGAGAUCAUGUCUGUCAGCAGACUGAUAGUUCCUUGAAAAGUUAUUGAAAACCAUCAAUGGACAACAGAAAGAGAUGUCAAAUAUGCACAAUGUGAGUCAAGGCAGUGACACACUUCUGUUUUACUUCCUACCAGCAACAUUGUCUUGGUCUUAUACACAAAUAGAGAGCUUGCCAAGAUGCAUACAGUCCUCACCAUAUGUAUUUGGACACUGAAGCUAAGAUUUACAUUUUUUUGCUCUAUAUUCCAGCAUUUUCACCAACAAGUUGUACUCUACUGGAAACUGUUUAACCAUAAUCAUCCAUUUAGAAAAUGUAAAGUUUAGGAAAAGAAUCUCAGCACUAUGAAGAAUGGAUGCAUAAGAGGUUGCUUCUGAUAGAGAACAGGGGGAAUUAAUUUUUGUAUGAGGAUUUCUAAAAUAUCAUUUUGUUUGUGACUGGAAGCAAUUUGAGGUUAUACUUCCUAGAUCUGUUUUUAUACUGGUAAAAAAAAACAUGUCCACACCACUUUGUAUACCAUCUCUUGUGGCAAAUGGCCAUACUUACAGCUGUUUAACAAAUUAAUUGUACCCUUCACAUAGAAAUGAUAUUUCCCUAAUUUACAAGAUCUAUUGUUUAAAGGUUAUGUACCAACUAUAUAAAAUUACCUGUACCCCCUUAAAUUCAAGAUUUUGAACUAUAUAUCUCUUUCUCAGAAAUAAAUGGAACUAACAAAACAAUUGUGCAAGCUAUAAGAGUGCUUGAGAGUUAAGGUAGUAACAAGAAGUAUGGAAAACCAGAUGAGCCAAACAUACGUUGCGGGAAGGAACAAAAGGCCCAAGAGAAGUUGUAAACCAUAGGGAACCAGGAAUAAGAACGCAUCGAGAGAACAUAUGGAGUGAAACAACCUCAUCUGAGGGCAUUUGAUGUAGAAUAUGAGUAAUAACAAGUACAUGUAUUCUGAAGUGUGUAGGCAUAGUGCACUUGAUUACAUUAUAAUUUUGGUCUACAUGCAUAAUUGUAGCCUACCUUUCCUUCACGGCACUAGGGCUGCUGAAUCAAGUGCACCGACGCUUAACAGCGCGAAACAAAUGUAAAAACAAAUAGGAAAGCAAGGCUUUAUCAGUUUAUAAACCAUGUCUUUGGGCUUAUCGUUGUUUUUUUACAGAAAUGCUUGGAGAUCACGAUAGACCUGUUGGUAACCACUGUUGUAGCCUUUUACUUACGAAGCACAUCGGAGCAUAAAUUGAAGUAACUUUCCCCACUAAAGAUUGACCGUUUCUCACCAAGGUAGGGCAAAGGCCUGCAAAUGACUAAACCUGAUAAUCGCCCAAAAGUACACUGGUGAGAAGAAUCUGUAGUAAAACCCAGACUCAGAGAAUAAACUGUCUAACAAAAUGAAUAAUUAGACAUUUGAAAACCACCUCUAACCAUUUACAAAAUUAUUGGAAUGACCACACAAACUGUGAAAUUGUUAUUCAUGGGCUGCGGGCAACCAGCUGAAAACCACAAAUCAGAACUUAUAUAUUGCAGUCGAUGACCACCCUGCCACUUGCUACUGGGAGGAGAAUAUAACCAUUAUACAAGAUGGAACUGUGACUGCAAGGAUUGACCUAACAUGUAAAAAAUGUUUGUAGAAAAACAUUUGUUUAUGAGAAUGAAUGAAAUACCUAGAGUGAUGAGUUAGGCAGGCAUAGGUAUACUGAGCUCAUAAAGCAUGGAUGAAAACUUUCAUCACUGAAGAAUCAUUUAAUAAAAUGGCAGUAUAUUGCAAAGUAGGCUACGAUUAUGCGUGUAGGCCAACAUAAUGUAAAAUCUGAAUGGCUAUGCUUAUAGACUUUAGGAUACUUGUUUUACUGAUUACUAUACAAUACUGGUCCAUGCUUGCCGGCAAGGGAGUGUCAGGAAAUGUAGAAACUGAAAUUCCAAAUUCAAGUGUUGUAGUUAUCCAUCUCCAGCUUUUAGCUUUUGCACUCAACAUGGAAAUAUAAUUGUUGUAUUGAAGAAUACAAGGCUUAUCAAGAGACUACGCAUGAUUAUUCAUGUAACACACCGACAGUGUUAUAUUACAAUGAGCUAUAAUAUAAUCACUAGGCCUAUGCAUUGCAUGCAGAAUGUUAAAGAAUGUGAUGAGUUACUAUGAAUGUCGUCAAAUCGGUAUAAGCAUUAAUUAAUUAAUGAAUUACCUAAAGAUUUGGAUAUAUCUCUGUUCACUUCCGGCAAAAGAAAGUUUAUGACACAAGACAACAUAUUUUGAUUUAUUUUUUAUUAUUACAUCAUUUACAAAAAUAAACAUUUGAAUAUUAAAACAUA